UUCCUGUGUAUCUGAGGCCUUCUGGAGAUUAUCAGGCUUUCCUGGUCCAGACAAGUAUUAGGGGAGAAAUUGUUCUCUCAAAACUGGUAACAAAAUCUGCCAGUCGUGUGCAUGGCACCUCUUGUGCUGCUGAGCAAAAUGUGAAGAGGGAGAGGCCGCUGCUCGUAACUGAGCGGGUAAAGGCUGGAGCAACAGGCGGCUUCACCUGAGCGCGUUUGACUUGAGACCAAGGGUGCACUGCGUUACUAUGUGUAACUGUAACUUGGGAAUUAAGUUUCUAGUGCCGGGAACUAAAUGUUUACAGAGCAACAUGGGGACUUGCUACAACACUGAAACAUGUAUCUUAGGCUCUGACACGGACAGCUUUUUUUUUUUUUUCCUGCAAUACAUCAGUGAGAAUUUUGUCUCUGUGGUUCUUAUUGAUCCGAGUUCGAUUUGGAAGCCUGCAAGCAUUCAGGGGAUCGUUUGAAGUACUUAAAAUGUGAAGAGCACUCUACGUGCCUCGAAACAGCCAAAUCAUUUUCUUUAUCACAAGUGUCAAUUCUCCCAUCUCCUCCGGGAGUAAUGAAGGCAUGCAUUCACUCACAAUUUGUCUGGGCCAAGUGCCAGCGAGAAGUUCUAGGAACUGUAACAACAAAGUGCUGGGGCUCCUCAAGGGGAAAAAAGAUCUGGAAAUGAACAAGCUGCAUCCGAUUGCGAAAGGUGAAGAAAUCUCAUUGAAUGCUGAGAGAUCCACUAUUGAUGAGAGCUGCACCUGAGCAGGCAGAGCGGCGUGCUGCUGGUUGGAGCACCUGCUGUAGCUUUUCUGGGGCACUGUGUCAGUUGUGCCUCUCUCUGAAAGGCUUUCAGAUCCACCUGUCACACUCGCUAACUGGUUGGCACAUUUUUGACCUUUAGGGUUCCCCUUCACUCAGGCCCUUUCUACCCGGAUGACUGGAUAACUGGUGGGACAAUCAAGUGAGAAAUACUGUGCAAAUUCAGCCCUGAUCCACGGUGAGGAGCAGAAUCUUUUCCAACUAUCUGAAGGCUUUUGGGGUGUUGCUAGUGCUGCUUUAACUCAGAUUUCUGGGACGCUCUGAGGCAUAAAGAUGUCUGUCAAAAUUCAUCGCUUCUUCCCUUUGUUUAAAGAAGGAGAAAUAAGUCUGACUCAGACGUUGUCGAUGAGUUGUAUGAGAAGGUCGAGAUUGAUAGCAGUUGUAAAGAAGACAGAACCGCUUUAAAAGCUCAUCCCUUCCUGGUGAUAAAGAAUAUGAUCUCAGUUAUUUUUCCCUUUUACGGACCUGUUUUAAGUGAAGUUUUUUCUUGCAUGCGGUUUUACAUUGGCAAUAAAAAAUAGUUCCUCUUUUGGGUAAGCUUUGAUCCGUAGACUCUGACAACCCAGCAGUCGAGGCUGUGUUUCUUCAUCCACAGCCUUAUGAUUUACACAGCACCAAGAGCUGUACAUGUGCAGUGCACAGCAAGAACGACAUCCCACACCCGUUUACUGCAUAAAAAUUACGUUGCGGUGAGAAGACAACGGGGUUCCCCAUGAGGAGUUGGAAAGCCAUCCUAACGGCUGCUGAGCAGGGUUUUGUUCAGAGCUGGCUCUAUGAAGACUUUUAAACUGCUUCAGAUAAUUUAUACUCUUCACAUUUCAGCCGUGAAAAGCAGAGCUCUCAGAUGUUCCUCCGCCCCCAGGCAGCCACGGCGUACCUUGGUUUUCUAGCAACUGACUGUGUAUAUUAAAAUGGGUUUGGGCUUAGGUAGUCUGCUAGGGGCUGGGUCCCCUGAAACUCCUACGUAGCAGCUCAAUUCAGAGUACUGUGGAGAUGUCUGUUAGUGCUAGAUCAGUGCUUGGUGCUCUGUGGAUAAUGGCCCUGUACAAAGGCGGCGUGGUGGAUGAAAGUCCCAUCGUGCUCCUUCUGGUACUAAACGCUCUCUGAUACUUUUACUGAGCUAAUCAAACAUGGUAACAUAACUGCUCCCUUACUUGGCAGCUCCAGGGGCGGGGGGGGGGGGCAGUGCGAGCAGAGAGAAAAGCUGUUCUUAAACACAAGAGAUUGACUUGUGAGUAGAACAUAGGGAAUGCGAUACCCAGAUACUCGCACUAGGACUCCUGAACAGCAAUGAGGGAUGGCACACUGACACUGAACUUUGGGGAUGGUGAGGAGCAGUUCUCACCAGCUCUGCUCAGGGGACAUUUGGUUUGAUCCGAAGAUUUUGCUCUUAGAGGAAAAUAGACAGCUCUUCUGUGGCUGCAGAGACAUGGUGGUGUGAGCAGUACCAGAACAUCACCAGGCUCAUGCUGCUCUGUCUGGAGAAAGAGGAAAGAUUUCAGGGAAUACGCACAUCUAGCUGAGCCAUCUUCUGUGCAGAAAGCAAAGACGUAUUUGAGCUUCAGCCUAUUUAUUGAAUUAGAAGAACAGCAUAGGUCACACUUUCCUUCCCUCUUUAAUGUUGACUAUUUCCUGUUCAUACCUGGGAGCAACCUCCACCUCUGUGUGCUGCAGCCAGCUUGAAGUGCCCGGCUGCACCUCCUGCUGGGCCGCUGCCACUGCUCAUGCAGGGCUCCUUCAGCUCCACCUCGACGAGGGGGUUUGCCCUGCUGCUGGAAAGUCAGGCAGGAUUCUUUCCUAAGCCUUCCUGAGAGGAGAUUUUAAAAUAUUUUUUAAAAAAGGAUAAUUUGUGGAGAAAAGCAGCGUAUCCAUUUUGUGUCUGAUUCCCAGCCCUGCGUGGCUGCCUCUGACCUGGACGCUGGGUUUGAGCCGCAUCAGCCUCCCAGCAUGUUCAUGGGAUCCAGGAGGGGUGCACAAUUAUUACCCAAAAUAAAUUAAUUAUCGAGGCCCUCUCAGGCCACAGGGCCCAUUACUGCAACACACACAGCUGCUUACAGAGCUGUAGCAGUGGGCACGCUGUUAGAGCCAACAACUGGUGAGCUCCCGGUCUGCUGUAAGCCCACCCUCCAUCGCUGGGCAUUCAACUUGGAAACGAAUGACUUGGCCUUUCAGCAGAAACCGGCGGAUUCACGUGAGCACAGAGCUCUUAGGAGCAGCGUGGGGUUUGCUGAUACUCUCACGAGACGGAAAAAAAAGAGCGGCAGGCUUCCAAAUAAACCGAUUUUUCAUGUAAAAGCCCUGGAACAAUGAGUCUUGAACAUGCAUACAUAAAUAACUGGCUCGGUUAGAACUUGGCUGGUGUCUUUGUAAGUGACUGCGUCCGUAUUCACGGGGCGCGGGCGGUGCCGUCGGGGCGGGGACGCGCUCGGAGCGCUCCCGCUGAGUUACGGAAGGAAGAGGUUCCCCUCUUGCGGCCGUGCGGGAGAACGGCCUCUCUCGGCACCGCGUCCUGCCCUUCUCCCGGCGCACGCAGCACUCAAUACGUGAGCGGGUUCGGUAUCUCCCGCUCGAGCAGCAGCGCUUUGCCCCGCUCCGCUGCGGCAGUGCGGAGGUUAUGUGAGAUAUGUGAGUAUUUAGGUUAUGGGAGUGAUAGAUCCAAACCAAUCCAUCAGAAACAUCUGCUUCGAACAACUGAUUUAAGGCUGCUUUGCUUUUGUGCUUUGUAAAUGCUUUCCUAGUGUUAAUUUUGGAAUACUGGAUGGAGUUUGCUUAUUCUGUCUUCUCCCCGAGGAAAGACCGUCGGGGUAAAUGUUUGGGCUGUUCUCUAAACAAAUAGCUUCUAUCCAGGCAAAGAAAAACCAGUCCACCAUAUGCAGCUUACAGGAUGGCUCAUUUCGUUUCCAACUGGUGUGAAACUGCUUUUGAAUAAAAGCCGAAAUUUAAUUUGAAAAUGACAAACGCAGCAGUUUAAAAUAAUUAGUUAAAAGCUGCCUACAAAUGCUUUGGAGCCCUGGGAAGGCAACGUGCAGCCACGCAUGUUUCACAGUCGAACUGGAUGCACUUGGUACAGAGGGAGGUUGUCCUCCGAGCUCUGAACCAGUUGCUUCUCAUCAGUGUGCGGCCAGCGCGUUUGGGCCAACAGAACUCAGGCUCUCGCACCCAGUUAUAUCUGUGAGCUGAAGGAGAAAUCAAACUUUGCUGCUUCGUCUCCUGGAUGGAUUCUCAGUGUUGAGUAACCUCACUGCACACAGCGGUGCUGACACUCAGCCGCACUGGGUUUACAUUCCCCUGUGUGAAUACUGCUCCCAGUGGGGCUCAUUUCCUUAUUUCACUGUCCAGUUUGCUGGAGAAAACUGCUUGAGUCCCUUUGCAAUAGCAGCAGCAAAGAGGUACACAGGAAAAGUGCACAUGCAUACAAAAUUUAAAGUGGGUUAUAUUAAAGUUUUAUUUCAAUAGAAGUUUUUCUCUCCGAUUUACUUUUAAAAUUUAUGUUUAAAAAAAACAUGCAAAUAUGUUAAAUAAUCUGAUAUUUAUUUAAAUCUGUUUUAUCUGCUGUAGGGAGGCUAACAUUACAGGAAAUAAUUUGAUACUGGGAUUUCAGCGGGACCCACAAGAACACAGUAAAGGGUUUGAAUUCAAGGCCAUGGUCUUGGCCAGCUGCCAAAAGGAAAUGGAGGAAAAUCAGCUCGGACAAAGGAACCCUGAAAUUACAACUGUUUUUAACACAAAUAGAAAGGAUUUAGAUCUUAGUUUUAACCCUGGUGCUAUUUUUAUAAUAUAAAGAAACUAAAAUUGGAAGUCUUUCUUUCCUGUAAUGAAAACCCAAAUCCAAACAAUUCCUUUUUGAUUUCUAAAGUGGAUUCCUCUGUUGAGGAGGACUUACGUUAUUACAACUUGCAGUGUCUCUCAUUAUAAUAUUAAUAAAUGAUCUUUAAAAUGCAGUACAUUCAGUCUAACAGUUCAAACAAUGUAGAAGAAUCAUUCCCUUUUAAUUAUUAUUCCGUGGCACUAAGCCCUGUCAUGUUCCCUGAGAUGAGCAGAGUCGCAUUUCCCUAUUCCAAAAGACCUGGGAGUGGGACAGAAAUGGAAGUGCUGUUUGUUUUAGGGCAAGAACAGGAAAAUUCACAGCGUCAGUUCUUGUACCAGAUGAGAAUAUGAAUUGGGAAUACGCUCUGUCAGUGCGCUCUGUCUGACAAUGCUCUGUGUUCUGCCUCGGGGGCUGCCAAAGAAGGCAAUAUACCGAAAAUUGAAGAGCUUUGCAGAACAAAUUUUCUGCGGUGUUUCUGGGAGCGGGAGUGGGAGAGCUUCCCCUGCGCUCCUCGCUCAGCCCUGGAUGACGCAGCCGACCAAGCUGUACUGCUGUGUCCCAUCGGGCAGCACUGUGACCACAGCGCCCUUUGGGCUUUCAUGGGCAUUUUUCUGGGGCUAAGGCCCCGAGCAGGGCAGUGCCGCCAGGAAACUGAGUGUUCCUCUUUACAAAAACAAAAGGAAUCAGAAGCAAUUGGAGCUGGAAAUAGCCCCAAAUGUACAUUACGUGUCCUCAGUCUGCAUGCGUGAUGCGCGUCCUCAGCUGUGCUGAGGGCAUCCCCUGCACCCCAGUGGGAAGCACAAAGGCCUCAGCAGUCUGGCGCCCACUGGAUCUCCUUCAAAAGUGUUUUGGGGUAAGGUGACAUAUCUGUUCCUCCAUCUUGGAAUUUUGGGCUGUGCCAUUUCCAUGAGCUAGUGGAUCCAGAAGGAACUUCCAGGCAAGUAAUACACAAGGAUGGAGGAGGUGAUGGUGGCUGCGUGAGAACCUUUAUCCUGUCCUGUCCAUCGUGUCCUAGGCCUUGCCCUUGGUGUGACCUAACAUCGCUGCUCCCAGCACACAUCAAGCCUUGGCACGAGCACCUCACCACCGAGCAGAGACCCAGAGGUGCCUGGGUCCUCAAUGAAGCUGCUGCUGGGGGUCACAGGAGGGCCCGAGGCUGAUGUGGUUUGUGGGGUUCCUAUCCCCAGCUUUGUGUUUGCCUGAAAGAGGCAAAUUGGUGCAUGCUUUUUAUCUCAUUAAUGUACAUGAAACAAGUAGGGCUUCUCCAGGUGAAAUGAGCUUCGGAAAUGCUUGCUGCUUUUCUGCUCUACAUUGAAGCAAUAAUAAUUUAUGAAUUUAAUUAGGCUCUGGUUUGUAAGAAUGAUGAAUAUUCACAUGCUGAAUAGCUGAGAAAUAUGAAAAAUGCGUGACAGCUUUAUUUGUUCCAGCUCUAAGAAUCACGGGUGAACAUCUUUUUGAAUGCGCUGAGCUUUCUGAGCAUCACUGGGGUGCUGCACUAGGAGCAGCCAAUGCACGGCUGCACCUGCACGCAGACCUGCCUGCACUGCCCUGCCCGUGAAGUCGAUUCCAAAAAUAGCAGCUGCAAAAUUGCUUCUCUCUGGGUUUUAGAGUCUCUGUGACAACUUGUUUCAUUGCCUUAUCUAAUAUCUAAGUUGUUUUACAGUACUUGUCUAUUUAGGAACUGGAUUUGUUGAAAGUGAAGUUAAUAUUUUUGUAAUGACCUCCAGCCAGUUCUCCUGCUAUUAGUAACUUUGGAAAUACUGUGUUUGAACUGGAAGGGCUUGAUAACUCCUUUUGCACUUCACCUUUAUUUUUAUACCUUUUGCUCUGGAUUCAGAUACAAUUACGUACGACAGCAGAUGAUCAGCAGUGCUGCUGUCCUUAAUAGGGUCUUUCAUUACACAUUCAAAGUCACUUACACUGCAAGGAAAAUCUGUCCUUAUUGUUUCAUCUAGUUACUUUUUCUAUUUUCCUCUGCCAGCACAAGGGUGUUGUAUUUGGUUUGCUUGUGUGGCAGUGAUCUUUACAUAUUUCCAAAAACUAAUUUCACUGUCUAAAUGAGCUGUCAGAACUAAAUUAAUACCAUCAACAGAACACUGCCCUGUUGGCAUGCUUAGCGUAUGAUAAUUUCAUUUGAAAUGCAUCUGUUGUUUUUUUCUCUCAAGAAACUGAGCAGAGACUGAAAAUACCUCAAUGGUCUAUUGCUCUAUAGGGAUUAACUUUUGCAUUGCUGGGCUUGAGGCAGAGCUCACAACAAGGUCGUGCUUCUCAUCGUGCUCCAGCACCCACCAGCGUGCCUGUCGUCAGCCAUGAUCUACAGGUCUCUGUGGCACGAUGCCUUCAGGUUCCUUUGAGCUGUACUUGAUUGCCAGGAACUGCUUUUGUAUAUACAAAGAGAAAACAAACGCUUCUGCCUGGCAGCUCACUGGCUGGGCAGCGCAGAAUCUGCAGUCUGGGAGCUAUGAGCGUAUAUUUUAUGAAUGAAAAUCAGAGCAGGCAGCCUAGAACUCAGCAUUUGUAAAUUUCAAAUGCCUUGGACUUAAAAAAAAAAAAAAAUAGAAUGAAAGCAAGGGGCCUGGGAGUUUUAUAGGAACAUAAGCACGUCUGAAGGAUGCAGCAGUGUUCUGGGUCACACAGAGAGGAGUAAGGUUACGUCUGGGAAGAGAUUUGUGGAUUGACAGCCAUGGAAAUGAUCUGUCUGCAAUUCAAAAAGGAAAAUCAUCACCCUUCCCUUUACCUGUGGCUCACUCUCAUCGCAGACAGGGCUGUGGUUCUGGGUAAGUGUAAGAAAAUGUUACAUGUUACUGGCUUUGUCCACAUUGCACCACUUUGUCUCGCCAAAGCUAUCUCCUCACACUGCAGCAGCCUGACUUUGGUGUGCUGGGAGAGCUGCAGCAGCAUCCCCAUGAGAACUCUGCUCCUCCACUGACAAGCAGGCGUGGGAGCAAGCCCUUUGCACGGCAAAGGUUGGUUUAUACAGUUUCAAGAUGGAGCAAGAUGCCUCCUCCAAAAAUGCUGAGCAAUGAAUAGCAUGAUAGAUUGGGCAGAUUGUGUUGGCACAGAGCCCUGAGCUGUGCAGGUGCCACUUGGCCAGUUGGUGUCUGCGAAAGGUCCCGUCUGGUCGGGAGAAUUCUUCACCUGUAACUGGAUCACACAGACGAAGUGAGAGCAUGAGGAAGUUAUAAUCUCCCUGCCAUGGGCUGGGGAAUGGAAGGCAGUUCCUGGCUGAAGUCACACAAUGGAUGUGUGGGUGCCAGAUGUCCCUGACAGAGACAGGAGCUGAACGCAGACCUGAGUGCCAGCCCAGCACACAGCGUUCAUCGUUAUCCAUUCUCUCAAAAAGAAAAAUCAAAGAAGGCUUUCUGAUUGAUUCAGUAGUUCAAAAGUUUCAGCUGCCAUAAAAUGAUGCUUCAGAGAAUCCUACAAGCUUACUAGUGGGAAAGACCUCCUCUAUGAAUGAAUGAGUGUAGCCUUCUGCAGGGUAACAAUAAUCGGAGUGACUUCUCAGAAGUGGAUGUUGAAGCACAUGUCUGAAUUGACUUCCAGUAACACCUGAAAAGUCUGUGGUAGAAGAAAUAAUUCUGAUUCCUCUCUGUACCGUGAUGAUUUUCAGGUAUCAUCCCUUAAAAUUUUCUUCUUUAGUUUUCUUCCAUUCUUCAGUGCUGCAGCAGAAGUGCUAAGUCACGACCCGAAGCA